rnacentral:lncRNA from 1 species
AUUUUCCCAAGUGAUAGAAAGGAUGCUUAGAGGGUCACAGACAGAGGCCUCUCAUCUUGAUCCUGGACGUGGGGUCAUCCUGUUCUCUCACCACAAGUCGAAUGGCAAGCUGGAGCCUAAAAGUGGCUAUGCCCAAGCUUUCAGUGCUUUUUCUCCUGGGAGAAACUUUGGAAUGAGCACAUCCUCUCAUGACUGAAGCUGUUAUUUAUUGAAGCAGAGAUGCAUUGAUGGAUUCAGCAGCAGUGGACCAAAGUUGAGCUCUGCUGCAGGAUGCUGAAGACCUUGUCAGAUGUGGGCAGCCAGUAGACAGCUGUAAGCCAACCCUUGACCUGAGAGCUCUGCCAUGGUAAUUAGUGUUGUAAAUGAGUCAAGCUUACAGCAGCAUAUGCUCAAAUCUAAUAUAGCAUCUUCCGUCACUAUCUUAGUGUUACGAUGAUCACGACUGUUUUCAGAGUGUGCUAAAAGUAUUUUUAAAGAGUUAACAAAGCAAUAACAAAGAAGCUAGCAACUGCCCACCGCCUUUCCCCC